rnacentral:rRNA from 1 species
AAAAGAAGAGCUUGCUCUUUUUUGGAUUCUAGUGGCAAACGGGUGAGUAACACGUAAACAACCUGCCUUCAGGAUGGGGACAACAGACGGAAACGACUGCUAAUACCGAAUACCUUCCAAUUUCCGCAUGGAGAUAGGAAGAAAGGGUGGCCUCUACUUGUAAGCUAUCGCCUGAAGAGGGGUUUGCGUCUGAUUAGCUAGUUGGUGAGGUAACGGCCCACCAAGGCGACGAUCAGUAGCCGGUCUGAGAGGAUGAACGGCCACACUGGAACUGAGACACGGUCCAGACUCCUACGGGAGGCAGCAGUGGGGAAUCUUCCGCAAUGGACGAAAGUCUGACGGAGCAACGCCGCGUGAACGAUGAAGGUCUUCGGAUUGUAAAGUUCUGUGAUCCGGGACGAAGGCAUUGAUUGAGAAUAUUGAUUGAUGUUGACGGUACCGGAAAAGCAAGCCACGGCUAACUACGUGCCAGCAGCCGCGGUAAUACGUAGGUGGCAAGCGUUGUCCGGAAUUAUUGGGCGUAAAGCGCGCGCAGGCGGCCGUGCAAGUCUAUCUUAAAAGCGUGGGGCUUAACCCC